UACGGAGGAUCCAAGCGUUAUCCGGAAUCAUUGGGUUUAAAGGGUCCGUAGGCGGUUUAAUAAGUCAGUGGUGAAAGCCCAUCGCUCAACGGUGGAACGGCCAUUGAUACUGUUAAACUUGAAUUAUUAGGAAGUAACUAGAAUAUGUAGUGUAGCGGUGAAAUGCUUAGAGAUUACAUGGAAUACCAAUUGCGAAGGCAGGUUACUACUAAUUGAUUGACGCUGAUGGACGAAAGCGUGGGUAGCGAACAGG
rnacentral:rRNA from 1 species